rnacentral:misc_RNA from 1 species
GAUGAAGAACGCAGCGAAAUGCGAUAAGUAAUGUGAAUUGCAGAAUUCAGUGAAUCAUCGAAUCUUUGAACGCACAUUGCGCCCCUUGGUAUUCCGAGGGGCAUGCCUGUUCGAGCGUCAUUAUAACCCCUCAAGCUCAGCUUGGUGUUGGGGCCUGCUGCACUGGCAGCCCUUAAAAUCAGUGGCGGCGCCAUCUGGCUCUAAGCGUAGUAAUUCUUCUCGAUAUGGAGUCCUGGUGGAUGCUUGCCAUCAACCCCCAAUUUUUCUAUGGUUGACCUCGGAUCAGGUAGGGAUACCCGCUGAACUUAAGCAUAUCAAUAAGCGGAGGA